UACGUAGGGUGCAAGCGUUAAUCGGAAUUACUGGGCGUAAAGCGUGCGCAGGCGGUUUUGUAAGUCUGUCGUGAAAUCCCCCGGGCUCAACCUGGGAAUUGCGAUGGAGACUGCAAGGCUAGAAUCUGGCAGAGGGGGGUAGAAUUCCACGUGUGAGCAGUGAAAUGCGUAGAGAUGUGGAGGAACACCGAUGGCGAAGGCAGCCCCCUGGGUCAAGAUUGACGCUCCAUGCACGAAAGCGUGGGGAGCAAACAGG
rnacentral:rRNA from 1 species